rnacentral:rRNA from 1 species
GUUGACCUCGGAUCAGGUAGGAAGACCCGCUGAACUUAAGCAUAUCAAUAAGCGGAGGAAAAGAAACCAACAGGGAUUGCCCUAGUAACGGCGAGUGAAGCGGCAACAGCUCAAAUUUGAAAUCUGGCUUCGGCCCGAGUUGUAAUUUGCAGAGGAAGCUUUAGGCGCGGCACCAACUGAGUCCCCUGGAACGGGGCGCCAUAGAGGGUGAGAGCCCCGUAUAGUUGGACGCCUAGCCUGUGUAAAGCUCCUUCGACGAGUCGAGUAGUUUGGGAAUGCUGCUCAAAAUGGGAGGUAAAUUUCUUCUAAAGCUAAAUACCGGCCAGAGACCGAUAGCGCACAAGUAGAGUGAUCGAAAGAUGAAAAGCACUUUGAAAAGAGGGUUAAAUAGCACGUGAAAUUGUUGAAAGGGAAGCGCUUGUGACCAGACUUGCGCCGGGCGGAUCAUCCGGUGUUCUCACCGGUGCACUCCGCCCGGCUCAGGCCAGCAUCGGUUCUCGCGGGGGGACAAAGGUCCUGGGAACGUAGCUCCUCCGGGAGUGUUAUAGCCCAGGGCGUAAUGCCCUCGCGGGGACCGAGGUUCGCGCAUCUGCAAGGAUGCUGGCGUAAUGGUCAUCAGCGACCCGUCUUGAAACACGGACCAAGGAGUCAAGGUUUUGCGCGAGUGUUUGGGUGUAAAACCCGCACGCGUAAUGAAAGUGAACGUAGGUGAGAGCUUCGGCGCAUCAUCGACCGAUCCUGAUGUAUUCGGAUGGAUUUGAGUAGGAGCGUUAAGCCUUGGACCCGAAAGAUGGUGAACUAUGCUUGGAUAGGGUGAAGCCAGAGGAAACUCUGGUGGAGGCUCGCAGCGGUUCUGACGUGCAAAUCGAUCGUCAAAUCUGAGCAUGGGGGCGAAAGACUAAUCGAACCAUC